rnacentral:rRNA from 1 species
CCGCGGUAAUACGGAGGGUGCAAGCGUUACUCGGAAUCACUGGGCGUAAAGAGCGCGUAGGCGGGAUAGUCAGUCAGGUGUGAAAUCCUAUGGCUUAACCAUAGAACUGCAUUUGAAACUACUAUUCUAGAGUGUGGGAGAGGUAGGUGGAAUUCUUGGUGUAGGGGUAAAAUCCGUAGAGAUCAAGAGGAAUACUCAUUGCGAAGGCGACCUGCUGGAACGUUACUGACGCUGAUUGCGCGAAAGCGUG